rnacentral:lncRNA from 7 species
AUGGCGUGGCCGUGCGAAUAUUCGUCGUCUGCUGAAGAGUAGACUAUACUAGCUGUUUGGUGCAGCGGCGCGCGGCGGCGGCGUACCCUGGGCUCUCCGAUCGAGCAGCCGUCGGCUGAGAAAGCGCUUGCACUACUCAAGCACACUACUAGCUAGUAGCUACUCGCGAUGGUCGCGCGAAGGAGCGAAAAAAGGGACGCCUUUUGCCCGGUCUUCUCUAUCACCGGAUCGCCGUCCUCGUCGUCCCUUUAAUUUUUCUUGAUGCUGCUGCACUGCGAAAUAUAUACUAGCUCUCUGCAUGCACUUCAUUUUGCUGGUUAAUUACAUUGGUUGCAGCUGGCGAUUCCAGCUCCAGCUGCUGGAGCGGACCGCUCUCAGGCGCCGUUAGGAUUUUCAUGUGUCAAUCAAAUAUAGAAUUGAUCAAUUGAAGCCG